UUUCUCUCUCUCUCUCUCUCUCUCUCUCUCUCUCUCUCUCUCUCUGUGUGUGUGUGUGUGUGUGUGUGUGUGUGAGAGAGAGAGAGAGAGAGAGAGAGAGGAG